UAUUUUUCUCUUUUAGCCAGGUAAAAAUGUAUAGUUUUUUGUGAUCUGUUAAGCCAUAACAGUUGUAGCUGGCUAUAUUUAUUUUCCCACCACAACCAAUGUUUGUAAACUUAUUUGACCUUUUCUGCUGCUUUUGAGACACUGUUCGAUCCCUCCUUGGGGCACUUACUGUUAAGUAAAUAAAACGCUAAACAAUCACAAAACAGCAACUAUUUGUCACUAUGUAUUAUUAUUCUAAUAUGUAUAGAAUUGUCAGUUAUUGAUGAUGAACCUUUAAACUCCACUUUUCCUCCCCUCCCUUCCCAUCUCUCUAUUUUUCAGCUCCAGAUGAGUGUGUGUGCAUGUUGUAUUUUCUUUUUCCUUGUCAGCCACCAUCUCUCCUAACCAUGACCUCUCCACCAACUGUAAGCACAACUGCACAUGUUCGUUGUGGGAAAUGGAUAACACAAUCUGUAGGCCUAAAUAUCUCCAAUCCUAAAAUAAAACGGAGCAUACAUAUAAAAACAAGUAGUUCCAAUAUAUUUACAUACUCGUGUGUGUGAGAGAGUGUAUAUAUUUUAUUUUUUAUUGUUAGCCACCCAUCUCUGCUUUUCUGCUUCAUAAAAAGCUGAGGUCUGGAACUCCUUCCAGGUCAUCUCUCUCUCCAUUCCUUGGCCUUGGUUGCCUGAUGACUCACCCUGAAUUUUAAUCGCUACAUACAUUCAUUGUGGAGAACAAAAGAUGUGAAUGGGUAGCCAGGGAAUGGCUUUGGUACAUAAAAAAAAUCUAAUAAAUCAAACUGUUGCUUUAACUGUGAAUGUACUUUAUUGCACACAAUCCUCAAAUAAAAUGGAACAUACAUAAAAUAAACAAGUAAUUACAAUUUAUUUACAUUGGGGAUAAUGUGUGUUUUCUCUUAGUGAGGCCUCUUUUUCAACUCAGAAAAAUGACACAAUAGUCUUAUACAAUAUUAACAGUCACACUUUUAUUGGAUAGAUAUUUAGAGUAAUUAUGUAGAUAUUGAUAAUGGAUAUGUGGUCGUAGAUAUCUCCAAUCCUAAUAUAAAAUGGAACAUACAUAAAAUAAACAAGUAAUUACAAUUUAUUUACAUUGGGGAUAAUGUGUGUGUGACAGAGACGGAGAGUGUGUGUGCAUGUUGUGUUUUAUUUUUCCUUGUCAACCACCCAUCUCUGCUUUGUCAGUCUUGCCAGGCCCAGUGUAUGCACUUCUGUGUGAGGCUGUCGGGCAGUGGUGGAGUGCAUGGCAGAUCUGAAAGAGAGAUGCACAAAGUGACAGUGGUGGAUCUGGUGGUGGACUACAGGUGCACCAGCACCUGUAGGACUACCUGACAGUUUUAGAGUGGGGAUCGUGACUCUUUUAUAUAAGAAAAACGACAGGAUGGACCUGAAGAACUGGAGACCGAUAACCCUUUUAAACCUUGGAUCGGGAACCAGUGUGUCCAGUACGCGCGCUUGCUAUAGGCAAGCCCACAACGGUUUGGCGUAACGUGGCCCAUACUGCUCUCCUGAAUCGGCAUCAGGACCUGUCCUGGAUGGUCGCCCACGAGAUCCUCCCGGUCAGGGCCGUUAUGCACUCACGGGGCAUGGCGAGGACAUCCGCGUGCCCCCGACCAGGCUGCGGCCAAGAAGAGUCGGUGAGGCACCUGCCUUGUGAGUGCAGAGCUGCCAGGGACCUGUGGAAGGAAGCAGGCCCCCUGAUCACCCCGUGUCUGCCAGCAGGGGAGGACCUAACACCUCAGCUCGUGCUCUAUGGGGUGGGCUGAAGGCCUAUUCCAUCGAAGGCAUUCACCAAGUUCUGGCCCACCCUCACGUGCCUGAAGGAAGCACUGUGGUCCUCCCGUAACCUGCUGGUAGCGAAACAAGUAGACACCACCCCCCAGGCAGUGGCCAUGGUAGCCACGGAAGGAAGGGGGCCUCGACCCCAGGUGAAGGGUCCCCCACAACACCCUAGGUCCCGGCGGCCACGGCCUGACAGCGCUGCAGCACCUAGGGCGAUGCGCCUAGGGGAGGGAUCUCCUCUGGGCCCCGAAGGACGGGACAAUGAUUGAUUCGGGAGAGCAGGAGGAGGCGAGCUUGAUAAGGACUCACCCCACUCCUGAACAAAGGAUCGAAGACAGCCUUUUAACAAAGUGACUUUUUAACAUGUUUCUCAUGUCUUAAAAAGGUUUUACCGUUGCUAAAUCAUUUGUACACAUUUUAAAUGGCUUUUACAGAUUUGAGGUUUUUACAAUGAAAAGUACUUUUACUCAUGGUUGUUCUUAUUGGUUUUAACAACAUGUACUUUUUAACUAAUUUAAAUGUAACCUUCAAAUGCAGUGUUUUAUGCUUUGCCAUUUUUAUGUGCAUGAAAUGAUGUAAAAAAUGUAUGAGCUGUUUUUAAAGGAAAUGUGACAAUAAAAGCAUUAAAAUUAAAUAAAAAGCUUUCUGAAGUUCGCUUGAUAAGUGUAAUAUCUUGCGUGGAAGUGUACUCUCUGGCUGUUUGCAUCCUGGAACAGCUGGCCACAUGGCCAGCCCUUCUUGAUUGCUCCACUUGCUGUACACGGUUGAUCUGUAUCUUCGGCCAGUGGAUUGUCGUGCUUGUGUACACUACAACUCCGUGUGCAUUAAUAUAUUGGUAGCUCUUGCUGCCACAAACUGUAAUUUACCUUACACAACUUGCCGACUGGCUUGUUCUAUGUCUGUUGUGAAUUGCUUAAAAAACAUGCUGCUCCCCGGCUGUACGUGCUGUUUCUUUCCCCUACAGAGUGUGAGUAUCGUGGAAAACUACGUUGAGACAUUAACUUUGGGGUUCCUUAAUGGGUGUUACUCCAUAUGGUGCUGUUUUUAUUGCUUGGAUAUUAAACUUAUUGGUAAUAUUGCAGUUGGUGUAAAAACAAAAAACAAAUCCAUUACUUGGUUGCUGUUUUUUUUGUCUGCCUGUUUCUCCCACAGGGGUCUUCCCCUGUGUUUGCAGAGGUACUGGGUAAAUUAUCCCUCACCGGGUUCCUAUUCCUCCAAGGGGGUCACGACAUAAGCUCUCCCAGGGUGUCGGGACCCUGCUCCGUGGCAUGGUUAGCUUGGUUGAGUUUAUGGCUUCCCUUUGUGACAGGUGUGAUGGUAUCAUCCGUCACCGCCUGGGAGACCCAGGUGCUUGGGGCGCCAGAGGAGAGGCGGGCCCCAGGCAGGACCCCUUACACACCCUUCCCCGGCCUCGGCGCUUCUCCAGGUCUCAAAGAGCAAAGUAGGAGGAGGGUGUGGA
ensembl:lncRNA